AUGAACGCUGGCGGCGUGCCUAAUGCAUGCAAGUCGAGCGAACGGACGAGAAGCUUGCUUCUCUGAUGUUAGCGGCGGACGGGUGAGUAACACGUGGAUAACCUACCUAUAAGACUGGGAUAACUUCGGGAAACCGGAGCUAAUACCGGAUAAUAUUUUGAACCGCAUGGUUCAAAAGUGAAAGACGGUCUUGCUGUCACUUAUAGAUGGAUCCGCGCUGCAUUAGCUAGUUGGUAAGGUAACGGCUUACCAAGGCAACGAUGCAUAGCCGACCUGAGAGGGUGAUCGGCCACACUGGAACUGAGACACGGUCCAGACUCCUACGGGAGGCAGCAGUAGGGAAUCUUCCGCAAUGGGCGAAAGCCUGACGGAGCAACGCCGCGUGAGUGAUGAAGGUCUUCGGAUCGUAAAACUCUGUUAUUAGGGAAGAACAUAUGUGUAAGUAACUGUGCACAUCUUGACGGUACCUAAUCAGAAGGCCACGGCUAACUACGUG
rnacentral:rRNA from 1 species